rnacentral:rRNA from 1 species
UACGAAGGGGGCUAGCGUUGCUCGGAAUCACUGGGCGUAAAGGGUGCGUAGGCGGGUCUUUAAGUCAGGGGUGAAAUCCUGGAGCUCAACUCCAGAACUGCCUUUGAUACUGGCAACCUAGAGACUGGAAGAGGUUAGUGGAAUUCCCAGUGUAGAGGUGAAAUUCGUAGAUAUUGGGAAGAACACCAGUGGCGAAGGCGGCUAACUGGUCCAGCACUGACGCUGAGGUGCGAAAGCGUGGGGAGCGAACAGG